rnacentral:rRNA from 1 species
AGAGUUUGAUCCUGGCUCAGGAUGAACGCUAGCUACAGGCUUAACACAUGCAAGUCGAGGGGAAACGACAUCGAAAGCUUGCUUUUGAUGGGCGUCGACCGGCGCACGGGUGAGUAACGCGCAUCCAACCUGCCCAUCACUUGGGGGAUAACCUUGCGAAAGUAAGACUAAUACCCAAUGAUAUCUCUAGAAGGCAUCUGAAAGAGAUUAAAGAUUUAUCGGUGAUGGAUGGGGAUGCGUCUGAUUAGCUUGUUGGCGGGGUAACGGCCACCAAAGCAACGAUCAGUAGGGGUUCUGAGAGGAAGGUCCCCCANAUUGGAACUGAGACACGGUCCAAACUCCUACGGGAGGCA